UCCAAAUCAACCUCCUUCAUACAUACUAAGCCUUAGAUACAAUGCCUGUUGAGCUUGUUGAGCUUCUUCUCAGUUUCAAGGGCCUGGUGGGUGGUAGGGGCUGUGUGGUGGACUGUAUGGACUUUUAUAUAUUUUGGGGCUGGGUGGUGGAUAGUGUGGGCUUUUAUAUAUUUUGGGGCUGGGUGGUGGACUGUAUGGGCUUUUAUAUAUUUUGGGGCUGGGUGGUGGAUUGUGUGGCCUUUUAUAUAUUUUGGGGCUGGGAGGUGGAAUGCGUGGGCUUUUAUAUAUUUUGGGGCUGGGUGGUGGACUGUGUGGGCUUUUAUAUAUUUUGGGGCUGGGUGGUGGAUUGUGUGGGCUUUUAUAUAUUUUGGGGCUGGGAGGUGCAAUGUGUGGGCUUUUAUAUAUUUUGGGGCUGGGAGGUGGAAUGUGUGGGCUUUUAUAUAUUUUGGGGCUGGGUGGACUUUUAUGCAUUCUUUUACAGUCCCUUGAUCCGGGAUUGCACAUGCUUGUAGAUGGUGGAUCAGGUAAAUUCCCUGCUAUAAAGCCCACCUUAUCGCUACUCAUUUCUUCUGCAACAUCCAUGCCAAAUAUUAUCAUAAAUCACAAAGAGGCAAAAACAGCAGCCCAUGCAUGACAGUAUAUUAAAUGGGAAAAUUGUGUACUAGCCUCCAAUCAUAUCCAUUUGAAGUUUCAAGAACAGAAACUUAGUAGGACAUUUGAUCUUAUUCAACUAUUCAAAUCCACGUAAGUAAGCAUGCGCAUGUAUAGUUAAUUACUUGCAUGAAUAUUAAAUGCAUGUAGGGAAAGAAAUUACCA
rnacentral:lncRNA from 1 species